ensembl:lncRNA
GGAGUGAGGAGAGGGAGGGGAAGGGGGGUUGGGUGAAGGAGUGAGGAGAGGGUGAGGAGGGGGGGGUUGCAGGGGUUUACAUGAAUGCGAGUAACGGUUAAAGCGGAUGAUGAGGGGGAGAAGACGAGAGGAGACAGAGAAGGAGAAAUGGUAGGGAGGUGACAGAGGAAAAACAAGCACGGCAAGGGAUUAAUCACAAGCUCAGAGAGAGAGGAGGUGGAAGCAAAAAGCCACCGCAUUCGGUCGGAAGUCGUUACCACGACCCAGACUAAUAGAAGCUCAAAUGGAAACACAGAAACAAAAAGAGGGCUGGCCAGGAGAACAGGAAGGAAGGAAGGUCUGUCCCCUGCUCACAAAGACAUCCACCGACACUCACACCUCCACCGACACUCACACCUCCACCGACACUCACACCUCCACCGACACUCACACCUCCACCGACACUCACACCUCCA